rnacentral:tRNA from 1 species
GGGUCCAUAGCUCAGUUUGGAGAGCGCCUCGUUCGCAACGAGGAGGUCGCGGGUCCGAAUCCCGUUGGAUCCACCA